GAGUUAAGUAGCCUAUGACUCUGGGACUGCCGGCCUUGAAGAAUACCUGCAAAUCUUUGCAUUCUUUCUUAUCCUAAUAGACGGACGUUUUCCUAUUUUUAUAUGCUGUGAACAUUCGAAAUCAUUAUCAAAUUCCGCCACACCACAUUGCCACACCGCCAAAUAAAAAAAAAAUGCAAAUUUACAUGAAGCAAUUGCGUCUCGUUGGCAUUUGGCAAUGCUGCAACUCCCAAAAUGGCUGCUUCCAGAGUGAAAAACUCACGUGACAGAAGACCGCGUUUUGGUUUGUUGACAAGCAGCGCCAUAACAUAGCCUACAAUUUAUACUUGUCAGCCAAUUUUAUUUGACCAUGUGGCCUGAAACUGCUGUAAUUUUCCCAAAAUGCUGUCUAUCUGCAUGCUUCAUCUGAUGAAGAAACUUCAGAACAAUACGGUAAAAGUAAUUAUGUUGGUCAACUGUUUAACCCUAAGGUUACACAUUUAGUUUUAUUGAAUCUUAAUUUCUAUAAACAGCCUGGUGAAAUCUGAGCUUAUUUAUUGCAAUCCAAAGUAUCCAUGGAUUUCUUGCAGCCAGCUGGCGAAAGGUGUUUCUCUUACAGGCUUGCUACCUGUACCGGUUGUGGCUUUUGUCACAUGCUGAAACACUUCAGAACAAUAUGAAGUAAUCAAGGUAAUAACCUUUACUAAAGUAAGGCUAUACAUUUACUUUGUUGAUGACAAGCUGUUUGCUUUAUAUCUUUUGAGUUUUGACUUUUCAGUUUAGACUGUUUUAAAGCUUGCCUAAUGUGACUCCUGUGUAAUUUUUGUAAAAGUAAUUAGAGAUUGCUUAGUUUUAAUAUGCUUCUGUCAUUUUG